rnacentral:rRNA from 1 species
AUUGAACGCUGGCGGCAGGCCUAACACAUGCAAGUCGAACGAGUGGCGGACGGGUGAGUAAUGUCUGGGAAACUGCCUGAUGGAGGGGGAUAACUACUGGAAACGGUAGAUAAUACCGCAUACCAUCGGAUGUGCCCAGAGGGGAUGAGCUGGUUGGUGGGGUAACGGCUCACCAAGGCGACGAUCCCUAGCUGGUCUGAAAGGAUGACCAGCCACACUGGAACUGAUACACGGUCCAGACGCCUACGGGAGGCAGCAGUGGGGAAUAUUGCACCAUGGGCGCAAGCCUGAUGCAGCAAUGCCGAGUGUAUGAAGAAGGCCUUCGGGUUGUAAAGUACUUUCAGCGGGGAGGCGUUACCCGAAGAAGAAGCACCGGCUAACUCCGUGCCAGCAGCCGCGGUAAUUC